rnacentral:rRNA from 1 species
GGUUAAGUUAGAAAGGGCGCACGGUGGAUGCCUUGACACUAGGAGUCGAUGAAGGACGGGACUAACGCCGAUAUGCUUCGGGGAGCUGUAAGUAAGCUUUGAUCCGAAGAUUUCCGAAUGGGGAAACCCACCAUACGUAAUGGUAUGGUAUCCUUAUCUGAAUACAUAGGGUAAGGAAGACAGACCCAGGGAACUGAAACAUCUAAGUACCUGGAGGAAGAGAAAGCAAAUGCGAUUUCCUGAGUAGCGGCGAGCGAAACGGAACAUAGCCCAAACCAAGAGGCUUGCCUCUUGGGGUUGUAGGACAUUCUAUACGGAGUUACAAAGGAACGAGGUAGACGAAGCGACCUGGAAAGGUCCGUCGUAGAGGGUAACAACCCCGUAGUCGAAACUUCGUUCUCUCUUGAAUGUAUCCUGAGUACGGCGGAACACGUGAAAUUCCGUCGGAAUCUGGGAGGACCAUCUCCCAAGGCUAAAUACUCCCUAGUGAUCGAUAGUGAACCAGUACCGUGAGGGAAAGGUGAAAAGCACCCCGGAAGGGGAGUGAAAGAGAUCCUGAAACCGUGUGCCUACAAAUAGUCAGAGCCCGUUAACGGGUGAUGGCGUGCCUUUUGUAGAAUGAACCGGCGAGUUACGAUCCCGUGCGAGGUUAAGCUGAAGAGGCGGAGCCGCAGCGAAAGCGAGUCUGAAUAGGGCGUUUAGUACGUGGUCGUAGACCCGAAACCAGGUGAUCUACCCAUGUCCAGGGUGAAGUUCAGGUAACACUGAAUGGAGGCCCGAACCCACGCACGUUGAAAAGUGCGGGGAUGAGGUGUGGGUAGCGGAGAAAUUCCAAUCGAACCUGGAGAUAGCUGGUUCUCCCCGAAAUAGCUUUAGGGCUAGCCUUAAGUGUAAGAGUCUUGGAGGUAGAGCACUGAUUGGACUAGGGGUCCUCAUCGGAUUACCGAAUUCAGUCAAACUCCGAAUGCCAAUGACUUAUCCUUAGGAGUCAGACUGCGAGUGAUAAGAUCCGUAGUCAAAAGGGAAACAGCCCAGACCGCCAGCUAAGGUCCCAAAGUGUGUAUUAAGUGGAAAAGGAUGUGGAGUUGCUUAGACAACUAGGAUGUUGGCUUAGAAGCAGCCACCAUUUAAAGAGUGCGUAAUAGCUCACUAGUCGAGUGACUCUGCGCCGAAAAUGUACCGGGGCUAAAUACACCACCGAAGCUGCGGAUUGAUACCAAUGGUAUCAGUGGUAGGGGAGCGUUCUAAGGACAGUGAAGUCAGACCGUAAGGACUGGUGGAGUGCUUAGAAGUGAGAAUGCCGGUAUGAGUAGCGAAAGACGGGUGAGAAUCCCGUCCACCGAAUGCCUAAGGUUUCCUGAGGAAGGCUCGUCCGCUCAGGGUUAGUCAGGACCUAAGCCGAGGCCGACAGGCGUAGGCGAUGGACAACAGGUUGAUAUUCCUGUACCACCUCUUUAUCGUUUGAGCAAUGGAGGGACGCAGAAGGAUAGAAGAAGCGUGCGAUUGGUUGUGCACGUCCAAGCAGUUAGGCUGAUAAGUAGGCAAAUCCGCUUAUCGUGAAGGCUGAGCUGUGAUGGGGAAGCUCCUUAUGGAGCGAAGUCUUUGAUUCCCCGCUGCCAAGAAAAGCUUCUAGCGAGAUAAAAGGUGCCUGUACCGCAAACCGACACAGGUAGGCGAGGAGAGAAUCCUAAGGUGUGCGAGAGAACUCUGGUUAAGGAACUCGGCAAAAUGACCCCGUAACUUCGGGAGAAGGGGUGCUUUCUUAACGGAAAGCCGCAGUGAAUAGGCCCAAGCGACUGUUUAGCAAAAACACAGCUCUCUGCGAAGCCGUAAGGCGAAGUAUAGGGGGUGACACCUGCCCGGUGCUGGAAGGUUAAGGAGAGGGGUUAGCGUAAGCGAAGCUCUGAACUGAAGCCCCAGUAAACGGCGGCCGUAACUAUAACGGUCCUAAGGUAGCGAAAUUCCUUGUCGGGUAAGUUCCGACCCGCACGAAAGGUGUAACGAUUUGGGCACUGUCUCAACCAGAGACUCGGUGAAAUUAUAGUACCUGUGAAGAUGCAGGUUACCCGCGACAGGACGGAAAGACCCCGUGGAGCUUUACUGUAGCCUGAUAUUGAAUUUUGGUACAGUUUGUACAGGAUAGGCGGGAGCCAUUGAAACCGGAGCGCUAGCUUCGGUGGAGGCGCUGGUGGGAUACCGCCCUGACUGUAUUGAAAUUCUAACCUACGGGUCUUAUCGACCCGGGAGACAGUGUCAGGUGGGCAGUUUGACUGGGGCGGUCGCCUCCUAAAGUGUAACGGAGGCGCCCAAAGGUUCCCUCAGAAUGGUUGGAAAUCAUUCGUAGAGUGCAAAGGCAUAAGGGAGCUUGACUGCGAGACCUACAAGUCGAGCAGGGACGAAAGUCGGGCUUAGUGAUCCGGUGGUUCCGUAUGGAAGGGCCAUCGCUCAACGGAUAAAAGCUACCCCGGGGAUAACAGGCUUAUCUCCCCCAAGAGUCCACAUCGACGGGGAGGUUUGGCACCUCGAUGUCGGCUCAUCGCAUCCUGGGGCUGUAGUCGGUCCCAAGGGUUGGGCUGUUCGCCCAUUAAAGCGGUACGCGAGCUGGGUUCAGAACGUCGUGAGACAGUUCGGUCCCUAUCCGUCGUGGGCGUAGGAAAUUUGAGAGGAGCUGUCCUUAGUACGAGAGGACCGGGAUGGACGCACCGCUGGUGUACCAGUUGUUCUGCCAAGGGCAUAGCUGGGUAGCUAUGUGCGGAAGGGAUAAGUGCUGAAAGCAUCUAAGCAUGAAGCCCCCCUCAAGAUGAGAUUUCCCAUAGCGUAAGCUAGUAAGAUCCCUGAAAGAUGAUCAGGUUGAUAGGUUCGAGGUGGAAGCAUGGUGACAUGUGGAGCUGACGAAUACUAAUAGAUCGAGGACUUAACCAU